AUUCCUGUACUGCGGUAUGACAGAACUGUGGGGACACGUAAGGAAAGCGGAAGCUGGGAAUGGAAAGCCCGGUGCAAGCGGGGUACCAGUCACUUUGGCAAAUCCGGGUGGCAAUGGGAAGCCGUGAUGCGGAGUGAAAUAAAGUAACGAAGUCCGUGAGCCAUGCGUCGAGAAAAGCCGCUAUCGUUUAUACCGUACCCGUACCGUAAACCGACACAGGUGGAUGAGGAGAGAAUCCUAAGGCCGGCGGAAGAAGCAUUGUCAAGGAACUCGGCAAAAUGGCCCCGUAACUUAGGGAUAAGGGGUGCCUGGGAAACCAGGCCGCAGAGAAUAGGCUCAAGCAACUGUUUAGCAAAAACACAGGUCUAUGCGAAACCGAAAGGUGAGGUAUAUGGGCUGACGCCUGCCCGGUGCUGGAAGGUUAAGAGGAGAGGUUAGCGGUAACGCGAAGCUUUGAAUUUAAGCCCCAGUAAACGGCGGCCGUAACGAUAACGGUCCUAAGGUAGCGAAAUUCCUUGUCGGGUAAGUUCCGACCCGCACGAAAGGCGUAAUGAUUUGAGCGCUGUCUCGACAAUGCAUCCGGUGAAAUUGAAGUACCAGUGAAGAUGCUGGUUACCUGCGCCAGGACGGAAAGACCCCAUGGAGCUUUACUCCAGUCUGGUACUGGGACUCGGUAUUGCAUGUACAGGACAGGUGGGAGGCUAGGAGAUGGUAACGCCAGUUGCCAUGGAGCCGCUGUUGGGAUACCACCCUUGCAGUAUUGGGUUUCUAACCAGCCGCCGUGACCCGGCGGUGGGACAAUGCCAGACGGGGAGUUUGACUGGGGCGGUCGCCUCCGAAAGGGUAUCGGAGGCGCCCAAAGGUUCCCUCAGAAUGGACGGAAACCAUUCGAAGAGUGCAAAGGCAGAAGGGAGCUUGACUGCGACACCGACGGGUGGAGCAGGUACGAAAGUAGGGCUUAGUGAUCCGGUGGUAUUAAGUGGGAAUGCCAUCGCUCAACGGAUAAAAGCUACCCUGGGAUAACAGGCUUAUCACUCCCAAGAGUUCACAUCGACGGAGUGGUUUGGCACCUCGAUGUCGGCUCAUCGCAUCCUGGGGCUGUAGUAGGUCCCAAGGGUUGGGCUGUUCGCCCAUUAAAGCGGUACGCGAGCUGGGUUCAGAACGUCGUGAGACAGUUCGGUCCCUAUCCGGCGUGGGCGUAGGAUAUCUGAGAGGAGCUGUCCUUAGUACGAGAGGACCGGGAUGGACGGGCCGCUGGUGCAUCGGUUAGACUGCCAAGUCUACGGCCGAGUAGCCAAGCCCGGAAGGGAUAAACGCUGAAGGUAUCUAAGCGUGAAGCCCCCCUUAAGAUGAGAUAUCCCAUUCGAAAGAAGUAAACCCCCUUGAAGACGACGAGGUAGAUAGGGCAGAGGUGGAAGUGCAGCAAUGCAUGGAGCUGACUGUUACUAAUCGGGUGAGGGCUUGACC
rnacentral:rRNA from 1 species